AGCGAACGCUGGCGGCAGGCCUAACACAUGCAAGUCGAACGAAGUCUUCGGACUUAGUGGCGGACGGGUGAGUAACACGUGGGAACGUGCCCUUUGGUACGGAAUAACUCAGGGAAACUUGAGCUAAUACCGUAUGUGCCCUUCGGGGGAAAGAUUUAUCGCCAUUGGAGCGGCCCGCGGCUGAUUAGCUUGUUGGUGAGGUAAAGGCUCACCAAGGCGACGAUCAGUAGCUGGUCUGAGAGGAUGCUCAGCCACAUUGGGACUGGGACACGGGCCAAACUCCUACGGGAGGCAGCGGUGGGGAAUCUUGCGCAAUGGGCGAAAGCCUGACGCGGCCAUGCCGCGUGAAUGAUGAAGGUCUUAGGAUUGUAAAAUUCUUUCACCGGGGACGAUAAUGACAGUACCCGGAGAAGAAGCCCCGGCUAACUUCGUGCCAGCCGCCGCCGUAAUAC
rnacentral:rRNA from 1 species